CCUACGGGUGGCAGCAGUGGGGAAUAUUGCGCAAUGGGCGAAAGCCUGACGCAGCGACGCCGCGUGAGGGAUGAAGGUCUUCGGAACGUAAACCUCUGUCAGCAGGGAAGAACGGUCACUGGGCUAAUCAGCAGUGAAUGGACGGUACCUGCAAAGGAAGCACCGGCUAACGCCGUCCCAGCAGCCGCGGUAACACGGAGGGUUCGAGCGUGACUCGGAAUUACUAGGCGUAACUCGCUCGUAGGCGGUAUGUCCAGUCUAGGGUGAAAUCCCCGCGCGCAACGUGGGAACUGCCUUUGAAACUUGCAAACUGGAGUGUGUGAUAGGCUACU
rnacentral:rRNA from 1 species